rnacentral:lncRNA from 1 species
UAAAAGGCACUGGGACACCUAAGUGCCUCACAACCUUUGUCUUUCCCAAACAAGUGCUCCCUUUCCUUCCUCCCCAAUCCCUAAGAUAAGGAUUCAUUUUGAAUGUGCAGCUGGGAAACUGAGGCACACUUAGCCAUGUUUGAUAUCCUCACAGCACAUACCAGGACAGCCUUCCAGGUGAAAUUCAUGCCACAUUCCCAGGGCAGGGGCUGUCAGGCUGGUUGUGUCAAUGUGGAGUUGCAAUUGCUGGGCACCAUGCUGAGACAUACAUCUUCGGGGGAAUGAAGUUAUUGUAUUUGCAUUUGCUAAUGUCUGCUGGCUCAUCCGGUGGGUCCAGGUAUGGUCUGGCCAGGUCUAUGCCAAAUAUCUGACAAAACAUUAAACAUCUGACCUGCAGAGUUCUGACACCCACUCUCCUUCUGCACUCAGCCUGUAUCAGGGUAAAAAUGAACCAGCGACAAAGGCACAAUUCACUUCAAACAUUGGAAAGAAGAACAAACGUGAUGUGUUUGCAAAGAGAAGAAGGAGAGGAAAUGAACCCCUACUCUUUCUGCUUGUUGUAUCAGGAGCAGCAUUGGUUCAAGGGCAAUUUUACCUGAGAUACCCAAAGUUCAGUGUAAAACCAUGAUGUGGUUAUGCAUCAAGCAGGGAGUCCCAAACCAAAACUGGGCCACCUUUUAGCAGGAUGAAUAAUGCUAUGCUCUCUUAGCUGAACUGCUCCUAUUGCUCCCAGGUGAAGUUGUUUAAGGCUUAACUCGAGAUUUCACAGCAGUGUAAACAUAUCACCAAAUACAGUUACUGCAAGAAUCAAUAUGAUUUAGUUCAUACAGAGGGCCAUAAUUUCUCUGUUUCUGGCUUGCAUGUUCAAAAGGAGGAGUGAUCCCUCUGAUGAAGGCAAAAUAUAUAGGAGACAGGAGCCUGCAGAUUGGGUGAUACACUCAUUUGCAAUUUCAGUUCUUCCUUUGUGGCAUCAGUUGGGAAUGGGCUGGAAAGUGAUCCUGGCAGCCCUGGUCACUGCAUUUUUAGAUAUGUCAGUGGAAUAAAAAUAUUGUUUCAGCACUUACA